rnacentral:rRNA from 1 species
UAGAGUUUGCUCCUGGCUCAGAUUGAACGCUGGCGGCAGGCCUAACACAUGCAAGUCGAGCGGAUGACGGGAGCUUGCUCCUUGAUUCAGCGGCGGACGGGUGAGUAAUGCCUAGGAAUCUGCCUGGUAGUGGGGGACAACGUUUCGAAAGGAACGCUAAUACCGCAUACGUCCUACGGGAGAAAGCAGGGGACCUUCGGGCCUUGCGCUAUCAGAUGAGCCUAGGUCGGAUUAGCUAGUUGGUGGGGUAAUGGCUCACCAAGGCGACGAUCCGUAACUGGUCUGAGAGGAUGAUCAGUCACACUGGAACUGAGACACGGUCCAGACUCCUACGGGAGGCAGCAGUGGGGAAUAUUGGACAAUGGGCGAAAGCCUGAUCCAGCCAUGCCGCGUGUGUGAAGAAGGUCUUCGGAU